AAGACUAUAGACCUGCGGAGUACCUGCGGAGGGAUCAUUAAAGAGUUGCAAAACUCCCCUAAACCAUUGUGAACCUUACCUGUACCGUUUCUUCGGCGGGCGGCGCAAGCCCUAACCAGCUCCUCUUGCCAGGGGGGCAGACCCGCCGGAGGCCUUAAAACUCUUGAUUUCAGUUGGCAUCUCUGAUUUAAAGCUUUUAAAUAAGUCAAAACUUUUAGCAACGGAUCUCUAGAUCGGAAG
rnacentral:misc_RNA from 1 species